AGCUUUUUUUUUAUUCUGUCCUGGGCAAAUAUUGCAUAUCGACAUCGUGUCCAAGGUCAUGAACUCUACCAUGCAUCGUGUCCUAGUGGUAAUGAAAAACAAAGUUCAUUCGUUUUCCCUAUAGUAUGCGUGCCAAACUAACUUGUGAACGCAUGCAUACAAAACUUGAGGUCUAUAAAAACUGGUUACUUCCAGCUGGUUUGGAUAUUAGAGUCUCCAUCGACAGAUAUUGUGUUCAUAACUUUCUUGUUUUUUUUCCUUAAAAUUAUACUUAUUUGUAUAUCAUAUAGUUUUUGGCCAACUUUGGUCCGUGACUCAUUCCUACCCUCCUAGUCCUCUGAAGUAGCAUACUGGUUGGAUCUUAUAUUUGUAUCAGGCCUUUGUGAUUGCAUUCAUAUGUUAUUUUCUUUUUUGGUUGUCUAGUUUAGUUUCUACAUUAAUGUUUUGUGUAAGCCGUUGUAAGUUUGGACUUUGGAGGUUUCUCCUAGUUAGUUUGCUUUAUCCUGUCAAAAACAAGUUUUCUGAUUUUGUUGAAAACAGUUUUCUGGGAAAAGAAGUUUCUAUUUUCUUUCUUUUAAAAAAUAUAUAUUAGAAAUGUUUUAAGACGUGGGGAAUUGCUAGAGGAAAGCGUUGGACAAAGAUUUACAUUUUGAACAUGGGAAUAGUUAAUCAAAUUUAUGUUAGGAAAUGAAUAUCCCACAUUGAACUCCCUGUUUGUUUUGGUAAUGGAAAGAAAAAGUAUUAGAAAAUAUCCCCAGGUAAUUUAUACAGCACAAUAUGUAUAUAUACAUCCACAACCACAAGCAUAUAAAAAGCUGACAUUGCCUAGAAAUGCUCACAUCGCCUAGAAAAGUGAUAUUUCUAACAUUUCACAUGGAUGAGAAAAAGAAAUUGCAUUAUUUCUUAAUCACAUUUAAUCUAAGAAUGCCAUACAAUAUUCAGUACAAGUAAGUGUAAAAGACGUGUCCUUGUAUCCAUAUCGAAUUUGGGGCUACAUAUCCCAGUGUCCUAAGUUUUAAAUUUAGGAAGAUCUGGCACUCAGACUUUCCGAUACUUGUAAAAGACGUGUCCUUGUACAGGGAUUUUGUACCUUAUCUUUUCUAUGAAUUUUAUAAGUUCUGCUCAGAGUUGGCAGAGGGUGUGUUAUAGUUUUAUAGUUACUGAAGGAGCAGGAUUAGUGAGUGAGUGAGUGGUGAUUAGCAUAACUAACCGAUGGGCUGUUAUUGUACAUUUAUCUCUCCGUACAUGUACUCGUGGGAAAAUAUUGAGCAAUGAGGUGAAAUACAUUCUCUCUCAAACUUAACAUGGUAUCAAAGCACCCUUGCUUGAUAUUACCCCCCAUCUUAUGCUCUCUCUCAUCCAUGUUCCCUUUCUGUUCAUCCAAUGGUCACAAGGUCGAAAAGGGGCAUUGUAGGGAAAAACGCUUCUGAAAGGGGAAUGAAACCAGAUUCGAUAGGAAACUUUGAUGCACGUUGGAGACGCUUUCUUUAAGGUGUUAAUUGCCCCUAAUACUAAAGUAGUUUGCUAAUGGGUUUAAAUAACAACACACCUUCAUGAUACAACAAAGUCACCAAGAUCUGCGGCUCUAACAAUCUAGAUGAUCUUCCUAAAGAACUUUUCUAGGAAAUUCUGUGACUUUAAAGGAAAUGAGAGAUCUUAACAACAAUUUUUAAUCUGGAUUUAGUCACUCACUCCUAUUUAUAAAUAAACAAGGGUUACUAAAAGCACCUAUUCGUGAAAGGUCAUGACUCAUCUAUGAAUACGAAACAACAUAUCUUUCAAUCUAAAAGAUACCUCUGCAUGCAUGAAAGUAUAUCACCACUUUACUAAGAAAAAAGGCACACUCCUUCAUUUCCGAAGUUAAUAUCACAAUCUACCCAAAAACUCCCAACAGGCAUUACUAAAUCAAAACAUCCUUCUCUCCCUCGGUGCUAUUGUGUAUAACCCUCCCUCUAGUGUUUUUGGUAGACCCUCCUCUUGAGGUCUACCAAAAAACUUACUUUUAGCAGGAAGCCAAGUUGAGUCGAGUAUUUUACUGUUCAAGUUUAGUAUGAAAAUUGUUGAAUUUUAAAAUGUCUUUAAAUUUGUCAGUCGCUUCGAUUGACGAGUCAAUCUCAAGGCAUUUAGUAUUUUUUUUUUAUAUAGUCUUCGAGUGUAUAUGAGUUUAUCAACGCAAAUAUUUGAUUGUUCAAGCUUAAUUUUAAAAAGUUUAAUAAAAGCUUUAAAUAUAUUCAAGAUUGGUAUAUUUACAACUCUAUCCUCCCACUUGUUUGCGUGAUAGAUCCUACAUCCCGACACAGUGUAUUUGCUAACUACCACCUCGUUCUUUCU
rnacentral:lncRNA from 1 species